rnacentral:rRNA from 1 species
GUGGGGAAUUUUGGACAAUGGGCGAAAGCCUGAUCCAGCAAUGCCGCGUGUGUGAAGAAGGCCUUCGGGUUGUAAAGCACUUUUGGCAGGGAAGAAACAGUGCGUGCUAAUACCAUGCGCGAAUGACGGUACCUGCAGAAUAAGCACCGGCUAACUACGUGCCAGCAGCCGCGGUAAGACGUAGGGUGCAAGCGUUAAUCGGAAUUACUGGGCGUAAAGCGUGCGCAGGCGGUUUUGUAAGACAGGUGUGAAAUCCCCGGGCUCAACCUGGGAACUGCACUUGUGACUGCAAGGCUAGAGUGUGUCAGAGGGAGGUGGAAUUCCGCGUGUAGCAGUGAAAUGCGUAGAGAUGCGGAGGAACACCGAUGGCGAAGGCAGCCUCCUGGGAUAACACUGACGCUCAGGCACGAAAGCGUGGGGAGCAAACAGGAUUAGAAACCCGUGUAGUCC